CGCCGGGGGGCGGGGCCGCGCGCCUACUGUGUGCCGGGCGCGCGCCGGAGUCCCGGCCGCGCGUCCUCGCCGCGCCGGGAAGGACGGCGAGUUCCCGGACCUCAGAGCAGCGUCCGCGCCCCGACUCCCGGGGCCGCCCCUGCCCGUGCGGCGCCCAGUGGCGGCCCUCUCCGGAGGCUCGGGGGACUUCCUGCCCCGUGCGGAGGUCGGAGCGGCUGCUGCAGACCACUCCUGGUGCGAGCUCGGAACCACGGGGUCUAGGUCCGCCGCCGCUUGGGGCCGGCCUGUGGCGCGCCGCCGCCCCCUACUCCACCAGCGCCUGGUGCUACACGGCCGCUUCCUGAAGAGUUGUUGGCUGGAGCGAGGGGCGGAUGGAUCCAUUCUGUGCCUGCUGCACCGCUCUAAACGUCCUGCGGGGCCUUGAGAGCGGGUCCUUACCUGGGAGUUAAGGCUACCAGCGCCUCCUGUCCCUCAUCUGUUUUCAUCAGUGAUUCUUAAAUCUGCACCAUCUGGGACGUUGUCACAAACGCAAAUUCCCUGACCCCACUCCAGACCUACCGGAUCAGAAAUUCUGUGUGUGGGUCCAGACACCUGUAUUUUAAUAAGCCCUCCAGCUGAUUCUGGUGCACCCUGAAAUUCGAGACCCACGUGUGGUCCUCACAGCAUCCUGUCAGCCACCGGGGAGGCCUCAGAUGACCACUCCAAUUGACAGAGGACACAACAGAAGCUUAAAGGAGGUUGAGUGUUGCUAAAGGUCACACGACUGUCCUGGAGGAGAGCUGUGCUAGGACCAGCUCUUCCGACAUCCAGCCCAAUUUCCUGUUCUCAGCAAACAUUUAUGGAGUGCCAACUCUGCACUGUUCUAGGUACUGGAGAAGCUGGGGGAAACAAAAUAAAAUCCCUGCCUCUCGAGCUGACAGUGGAAAAAGACAAGCUGUAAAUACACAAACAUAAUCAAGAUGAGGUCAUCAGAGUGAGCCCAGAUCUGAUGUGACUGGUGCCCUUAGAAGAAGAGUAGAAGAGACAGAGACAGACACACAUCAGAAGAAUGACAGUGGAGGCAGAGGUUGAAGCAAUGCAUCGAUCAGCCAAGCAAUGCCAAGGAUUUCAAGCAACACCAGAAACUAAGAGAAAUGUAUGGAAUGGGUUCUCCCCUAGAGCGUUCAGAGAAAGCACGGCCUUGCUGAUAGGACUAAUUGAUUUUGGGCUUCUAGCCUCCAGAAUGGAGAGGGAAUACAUUUCUGUUGUUUUCAGCCACCCAGAUUGUGGUACUUUGUUAUGGCAGCCCUAGGAAACUAAUAGAGAUGGUCAAUUUGAUGUGUCAGCUUAGUUGGGUUUUAAUCCCAAGUUAUUCACUCAAACACUAACUUAGAAGUUGCCAUGAAAAUAUUUUGUAAAUAUAAUUAACGUCUACAAUCAGUUGACUUUACUAAUGGAGAUUAUGUAGGUGGGCCUGAUUCAAUCAGUUGAAAGGCUUUAAGAGCAGAACUGAGGUUGCCUUGCAAAAGAAGAAAUUCUGCCUGUGGACUGCAGCUUCAGCUCAUGUCGGAGAGUUUCAACCUUCCCUCCUGAUGGCCUGCCCUACAGAUUUGGGACUUGCUUAACCAGCCCCUGCAGUUGUAUAAGCCAAUUCCUUGCAAUAAAUCUCUUACUAUA